UGGCUAGAUUUCAAUGAAACUUUUUUAUCAAGGAAGAUGAGAAUAUCAUUGAUGUUACCGGGUUCGACCAUUAAACACAGAGUUAUUACCCCUGAUUAGUUAAACAAUAAUAUGAAGUUAUUUUCGUUUCGGAGAGCUAUUUCCUGAAAAACUAUUGGCUUGAUUUAAGUGAAAUAUGACGUUGUACUGUGAAAUAAUAAUCGUGGAAGAACAAUGAAAAAAAACCCAAAAAAUAUCAUCCAUAAACGCAUAAAAGAAACAGCAAAUUUGUUCAAUUCAGUGAAAGAUCAUUUUUUAUUUCACUGAUGAUCAUAUAAAUCAAUAUUUUCACUCGUGGCAGCAGUAGCCACGAGUGAAAAUAUUGAUUUUUAUGAUCACUAGUGAAAUAACAAUCCAUCUUCCACUGACAUUUUGUUGGAGGUUUUGUAUCAUGGGUAAGGAUAAUAAAUUAUCUUCAUCAAUAUCUGAGGUACAUACUACAAAGGAACUUAAGUCAAGUGAUAAGAAUCAUGCGGCGAGGGGAUAUCAAUUUAACUAGUUUCCUUUUGGGGGCGCAAGCCCCCAGUGUAAUUACGAUAAAUUCAGUUUACGACAUUUUGAACGCAUCUAGGCUAUCUAGAUGCACUGAGCAAAAAUAGUUCCAAUAUUUUGCCAUAAUUUUCAGAUAAUCAUUAAACCUUAUCUAUUUUAAAAUUGACUGGUCAUUUUAUUACUAAACUUUAAAUCAUUUUAUUACAAAUUUACAUAAAUCAUUUCUUUACGCGAUUUGAAUAUUACUACGCCAGCAGUCGAUAAAAAUUUAAAGAGAACCAGUUUAUUUUUCUACCUUCUGGUUCUUGAUGCAUGAGAGCCAAAGUACGUGCAUUAAUUUAGUGCCAAUUUUAUUAAGUCAUAAAUUAACUAUCAUUGAAUACAAUAAUUCAGGAAAAAAAGAAACACGAUUUCAAUUUAAGAUAACUUUCAUGCUUAAAAUGCUUAAAAAGUGUGAAUGUCAGAGAAAAAAAUUUUAGUCUGAUCGUUUGAAUACGAACUAUUUUCCCUCUGGCGUCAUUUUCCCGCCAUCGCCAUCUUGGCUAGUUAUUCCGAGAAAGAUUGAGAAGUUUUGCUAUCGAAUAGGAAGUCCCAGGUGUUUAAAAGAGUUGUAAGUUUUAUUAAACGAACACUUAAUCUCCUUUAUACCUAACUAUUAAGUAUCUUUGUUGCCUUUUCUUGCAUUUAUCAGUAGCAAAAUCGUCAGGAAAACGACCUAUUUUGGCUGUUUACUGCAGGUCAAGAUGUUUAUUAUUGAUAUUUAAUUACGUUGUAAUACGUUGAUAUUAUAGUUGCAAUCUCUUUCGUAUGUAGAAUCAAGUUUUCUAUACAAUCUUGUAAAGCUAUUGAUAUAUUUCGCUUGAUAGACUGCACAUUUUAGUGCAUUAUAUCGAUUCAGGGUCAGCUCGGUUCUAAAACGUACUCUGCCCCCCAGUCAGCUCGGCUAUUCUCCAACUUGGUCCACUUUUCAAUAUAUUACUAGUAAUAUAUUGGUUUGUUUUAUCACUCUUUAUUGUUGAAACCACAAAAUUAAUAUCUGGAUUAACUCAGAAACGUGGAAAGAUAUUUUUUUAAAUUAAUAUAACAUUUUUGGGGGUGCUUAACUACCUUUUGAACACAUCUCUAUUAGGUAUCUAAGCUGGACAAAAUAGGUCCAAAACUUGCCAUGGUAUACAGGAAAAAUGUAAUAAUUGGCAAAAUUGAUAUUUUUCUAUUUUGUGAUCAUGAUUUUUGCAAGCUACUGGAGGUAAUGCCCCCGUCCUGUAAUGAGUUAAAUCCUGUCCUAUGAGAGUCAAAGAAUGUGCAUAAUAUAGAACCAACAUUAUUAAGUCAUAUGUGAACUUACUAUCAUAGAACGCUACAACUAACAAAAUAUUGCACUAUGUUUUUUUUUCCAACCAGAUAAGCUUUUAAAUGCUUCAAAAGUGCAAAUAUAUUGUAAGAACUUUGUAUGCAUAUGAAAUAUGAAUACAUACUAUUUUCUCAUGUACGUAAUUUUCCCGUAUACAGGAAUUUUUUCCAGGAUUUUGGGAACACGACCUAUACCCAUGGAAUUGGGAUUUUCAGCAGUGUUUUGUAAAAAAUUGGGAAAAAUUGCAUGACUGAAAUUUUGCAGUGAUUUAACGGAUGCAAACAAAUACUGUCUAGGAUGACAUCUUCAAACAUUUAAGCACUAUUAAAGUGAAGAAACCCUUAUUUGCAAAGAUUUUAAAAUUUUCAUUCUAUAUUUUUAUUAUUUAAUUUCAAUUGGGAAUUUUUUCCUGUGAAUUGUGAAAAUAAUAUACUAUUUUCAAUUCGGAAUAUGACCCAAAAACGGCUGUAAAAAAAGCCCAAAAAAUCUCUGCCAUUAUCACCAUGAUGACAAGGUAAGCAGGUAAACAUUGCGAAAUUUUGUUCACUGUUGACUACGACUGUAUGAUAUUCAUUGUUUAUAUUUCACUAUACUUUGAAAAAUAAUUGCAAUCUGGUGUAACAAUUACUUCAUCCCUUUGUUUUUCCCUUUAGUGAUUAAAAUGCAUAAAAUCGUGUGAAAGAAAUCCGAUUCAACUCGGCCCUUGUCUAACUCAUCCCAAAAUGUUAAAGGACUGGUAAUAAUUAUAAUUGUUAUACAAUAUGACUGAAGUUCAGAUCUACUUAUUUCAUUCAUGUAGAUCUGAUUUCCACAGUUUUGCCUUCAUCAGAUGUAGGAUUUCAUGAUAUUUAUGGUCAGUCCAUAACUUUAUAGAUUUUUUAUUUGUAAAUUCAAAGACAUUUAUAUGAAAAUAGUAGUUGUAUUAAAUUAUAAAAAAACACAGGUCAAUAAUAAUAAUACUGAGUAUAUCAUUAAAUAUAACAGUAUGGUAAUAUUUAGAACAAUUUGAUGACUAUCAAUUUUCACUCUAAACAAAAAUUUAAAAAGUCAUAAUACACUGAUGAAACUUAACUUAUUACCUUUGUUGAUAUAAACAAUCAAUAAAAACAACUUAUCUUUAGCAGCAGAAUUUUAUAUACAUCAUAUUAAGUCAUCAUUACUUUUAUUGUUUAACAUUAUUCUAUAUGAUAAUUAAAUUAAAAGUAUUCAAAAGUUUUUAAUAUUGAUGGAAGUCUGCUAUUGGUAGAGGAAGGAAUACUUUACAAUGGCAGUGGCUAGCAAUAUGAACCAGUAUUGUUUGACAAAAGUGCUGGCUGUACGCGAGUCACAUACGACUAGAAUAUACUCACUGUUGAGGCUAGCCGUACAGCAUUUUAAAAAUGAGUUGCCUAAAACAAUAAUAUGCAAACUUGUUUCUAAAAGAAGAUUAUAUUGAAUAUCAUAUACAAUUUACAGUUGGUAUAUUAAUUUUUAGUGUUUGAUGAUAGGAAGAUAUUUAUUCCUUAUAAAAAUCAUGGACUUGAAUAAUUUUAGUCUGUGUGAAAGCGCAAAGCGAAAUAGACUGAAAAUUAAUUUAUUAUUUCUAUGGACAAUAUAGAUGUAAUACAUUUGUAAUCAAACAUGCGGGUCAAUUUCCAGCAGUGGUUGAAUUAUGAAACCUAAUGCAUUACCUCCGCUUUGAAAAGUAAUCAAAUAGGCAAGAACUACUGUUAACUACAUUGAAAAUGAGGGCCAUGGGUUCAAUCCCCAAAAGGGUCAACUUUUUUUUCUUUCUUUUUUUCUUUUAACAUUAUUUAUGUAUCUCUCAUGUCCCAUUUGGAAAGAAAAAAGUGUUUAAUUUUGAUUUUUUAAUUUAUAUAGGUAUUUAUUGGCUAAAUUAUGCUAAAUCUAAUAAUAAAUAUGGUACCUGAUAUUUUCAAAGUGUAAUAUAAUCAAAACUAGACGGUAAAAGUAUUUCAUAUUUUACAAGAUCAACCAAUAUACUUUUUUUAAAAAAUUAGGGAAACAUUAAAAAACAGGCACUCAUUUGGGUAAAUUUUAAGAAUUUGUUAAAUUAGGCUCCCUAAGUAGAAAAAUGGUCAGACACGUGGUAAAAAUGGGUGGGGUAGGGUAACAUUUUUAUACAGAUUUCAUAAAUUUUAAGUAGAAACCAUAAUUUUGCUUAUUUGGAUUGUUAGCUGAAUGGUACUAUUUGUUUCUUACCAAAAAUUAAUGGGAAAACAUUUUUCAUUAGAAUAUUAUUGCAGAUUAUUUAAAGGUUCCUACUUUCUAAAAAAGGGCCCUCAUAACAUCCUAGCUUGAGUUCAGAAAAGUGGCCAUAACUUGAUUUCUGUACGGUAAACUUUGUUUAGAUUUUGCAUACAUGUGUACUUUAAGGUAUACAUCUGACUUAUGAUGUCAAUUUUUUAGUUCCUGAUAGUGCCCAUUAGGGUCCUAAUACCUUAAUAAUAAUUUUAUUUAACUUUUAGCUACUUGACAAUUUCAUGCUGGAUGUUUGCUUUCCAUUACAUUUUGCAUAAGAGCUCUAUAAUUGGCAUUAAAGUCCACGGGCCAAUUUAUUUCGAUAGAUCUUUCCGAAAUCUUGUUAUAAUAUAAAUGGCUGAACAUCAUCAUAGAAAUAAAAAAAAUUAAUUAUGUUAAUUCUUUGUAAAAAUGUUAGAAGAUUUGCAAGUUACUGACUUUAUCAUUGCAUCUAUUUAUGAUUGAAAAAAUGGCUAGCCUCAACAGUAUGUAUAGGCUAGAACUUUCGGUUUGCAUUUUAGGCCAAAAUAUAUUGUUACAGUCAUGACGGCUUUCGCGUUGCUGACAACAAACUUUAACCUUGUUCAUAACUUUUUCAGAUCUUGGUGUAUUGUCUUCAUACUUGGCGACAACAACCCUUCAAGUAGACUGGACUAUACUAGUAAACUUGACCUUCAUAUUAACAUUCAAGAAGGUAGGCCUACAUGUCAGAUUUGUGAAUGUCAAUGGCAGGAUAUCGAUUUAAAGCGUCAAUGAGGAUAGAAUCAAGAGAGAUACAGGCUUAAAGAUGAGACUGUCAAUCUAACUAACCUUGAAGUGAAUAAAUGGAAAAAUGUUUCUUUCAAUAGCAUGGACAUUUAAGGAAGAGGAAACAGAGGCGCUUGUAUGAUAGAACAGUAAAAGCAGGAGUGAUAAUAGAAGUUACAUGUGGAUAUGUCUUUAUGUCGGAAACACCAGGGAAAUUGAAAUAUUUGGGUUUUUCAAAACUUAAAAGAAAUUGGCCUGCCCUUUGCAAUGUUGGAUAGUGAGUUUCAGAUGUGAUGUCGAAAGCCUCAUGAAUAUAGUACCCUGACUUAAUUAGUAAAAGAAAUGACAUUGAGGAGAAAACUAGUCACCAGUCUUUCACGAAGAACAUUAGAUAACUUUCCAAUAUUUGAAAUAUCAUAAUAUGUAUAGAACUUUAAUGAGCCACCAGUUUUUCACCAGGAAAAUAUUAUCACUUAUCUAUUUUUGAAAUAUGUAUGAACAGAACUUUUUCAACUUUAAUGUGAGAGUUUAUCACAAAGAACAUGAGAUAACCUAUGAACAGAACCACAUUUGUAUAUAGAGGCACCAGUUCAUCACCUGAAGUAACUUAUCAAUGUUUAAAAUUUGUUUGUACAAAAAAAUAUCAAGGUGCAAGUUUCUUUUAUUAAGAACACUUAUUGAUUAGAUAACUUACAAUAUUUACAAACAUUUAUAGUACCAUACCCAUUUAAAUAUUUCAGCUUAGAGUGUAUUAUCCAAAAUACACGUAUUGUUAUAAUGUACUUUAUAGUGUAUUUAUUAUUAUAUUUAUUAUAUAGUUUUAAUUCUACUUGAUUAUCAAUAAGUAUGUUUUUAAAAACAUUUUGAUUUUACUAGAUCUUGAAAAUAUUAUAUCCCAUGCACUUUCAUUUAAUUUGGAAUAAUGAAUCCAAUGAAUACUAUAAUAAGAAUAGGAUUAAAAUUGAUAAUGUUUUUAUAUCUUUAACUAAUAUAAGAGUACAAAAGUAAGGUUUAAACUUAAAGAAAAAAUGUCCCCACUGGCCUAGGGUUUGAUACCAUAACUCUCAGUUCAUUGCUGUUUGUAGAUUUUCUUGCCUAUAAAUAUACUCAAGUAUGUUAUAUAUAAUAGUGUUGUUUUUUUUAGCUUUGUUUUUUUUUUAUUUUGAAGCAGCAUGCCUCCACUUUAUUGCUAUUUUUCAUGAAAAUUUUGAAAAUGUAUAUCAAAAUAAAAUAUUGUGAAGUAAACAAAGAAAGUAAUGACUAUUGAACAUAUUGCUAAUGACACAAUCCAUAUAAUUUACCAAAAAGGUGCCAAAAUAUGCAAAAAUAUCCCGGGAAGAGUCACACUUUAGAUAUAUGGGGAUCAUUUGAAUAUUGCAAAAUCAGUCAUAAAUGGCACAUAAUGUAAGGUAUUUCUUGGACUUUUAACUUUUCUUAAUAUCUGUUUUAACAAGUUUGAUUUCUUAUGGCAUAUCUGAAGGCAUUGAACAAUUAAUUCUAAAAGUAAUUGUUUCAUAGAGAAAUAGUUAUUUGAUCACAAUUUUAGUUUUUUUUACUGUUUGAAAAAGAAGCUUUGAGUUGAAAAAUAUGGAAUAUUUUGUUAAAUCUUUGUUAGGCUUGUCCAUCCGAUAGAAGAUUUAUCUAAAAAUGAUAGGACUAAAACUGCAUAGAAAUUAUGAUGUUAAGCAAAAACAACCCUUAAAAUUGAAAGGGCAUAAGUUUGACUCUUUUGCAAAUUCCACAAGAAGUUUCAUUUAUAUUUUAUUCAUUUAAAAAAAUUAUAAUUGCCCAUAAAUGUACCAAAUAUGAUAUGAGAAUUUUCUAUGAAUGCCUAUUGAUAUUUUAAAAAUCUGUUAUUCAUGUAGCUCUGAUGAAAAUUUUGGCAAAUUGUGUUACACGCUUAUUGAUAAUUGUUAGUAUAUUCAUUAGUAUGAUAAUCACUAGUUGCAUAGUUUAUUAUAAUAACACUUCUGCAUGUUUCAUUUAAAACAAAUUUUGUUGGAAAUGGUGAAACAUAUUCAGUAGAUUUUAAGGCAGCUGAUAUGAAUAAGGGCAUGUGUUUAGCUAAACAAUGAAUUUCGAGCUAUUGCUACAGUCAAGUUGCUGUUCCUGCACAUGUUGCUUACCAGAAACUUUAAACUUAGCUUAAUUUUUCAAAAGACUUUUCUUGGACACAACCAUUUUUUGGACAAGAUAAUCAAGAAGACCGAAUGAAGUUGACCUUGAUUCAUGAAUUAUAUUGACGACGAGAUCAAAUGUAUGAAUUUUGAUUUUGAAUUUUUAUUUUCUUCAAACUUGAAAACUAAGACAUAAAAGAGAAUCAAACACAAUAUGACAUUGACUUUAAUGUACUUGAUGAUAAAAUUAUUGAAUUUCACAGUUUUUAGCUAUAAUUUGCUAUUGUUUUGCUUUGAUUAUACAUUGCAUCAGCACUGUAAAUGUCAUAAUAUGGUUACUGUCCAGCAUGACUGCUGGAGUGAACAACCUUGACCACUCUGUCACAGACUAUCCUUCUAACAAGACAUCCCAAAAGAUUAAAUGGAACUUGACCUUGAAUUUAAUUAGGGACAUACUAUUGUUUUUGCCUUCACCAUCUGACCUUCCGUCAAGUCGUCUGCAUUAAGCUUAUCCGAACUUCACAGGUUUAACUACUGGUGGAACUUCAACUAAACUGUACAGGAGUGAUCAAUUCCAUCCGUAGUUAUGCGCAUUACCGGCAAGUUCCGAUUUGCUGCUCAAAAUGGCUACCAAGCUAAAAUUAAAAAAAUCUUGUCCGGCCUUCACAUGUCAAACUUCCGGUGGGAUUUUAACCAAACUUUACAGGAUUGAUGAGUACCAUCCCUAGGUAUACACAUCUUCGGCAAAUUCCACUUCGCUGCACAAAAUGACCACCAAAGCUAAAAAUAGAAAAAUCAUAUCGACUUUCAAAGGUCAAGUUACUGGCGAGAUUUCAACCAAAUUUUACAGUAUUGAUCAGUACCAUCCCUAGUUAUGAACGUUGUGUACAUCGCCGGCAUGUGACGCUCUGCAGCAAAAAAUGGCUGCAAGAUCUAGAAGUAGAAAAAUCUUGUUGGAUUUACAGGUCAAACUACUGGUGGGAUUUCAAUUAAACUUUACAGAAGUGAUCAGUUCCAUCCCUUGUUGUGCACAUUGCCUGCAAGUUCCGUUUCACUUCACAAAAUGGCCACAACAGCUUAAAAUAGAAAAAAUCUUGUCACAGGUCAAACUACUGGUGGGAUUUCAACCAAACUUAAUACAAGCCUUUGUUGUGCACAUCGGCAUCACGUUUAACUUCGCUGCACAAAAUGGCUGUGAGAGCUUUAAAAAGAAAAAUCUUGUUCGGCUUUCACAACUGCUGGUAAGAUUUCAAUGAAACUUCCCAGGAGUGAAUAGUGCCAUCCCUAGUUGUGCACAUUGCCGGCAUAUUUUGUUUCACUGCACAAAAUAGCCCCAGAGAUAAAAAUAGAAAAAUCUAUCACAUGUCAAACCGCCAAAAUUCAAAGGAGUGAUCAGAACACAUGUUUUGUGACCUCUAUUUGAUAAAAAAAAAUCUUUGGAGUUAGCUUGAAUUGUCAUUACUUUGUUAUUUUUUAGAGAUUUGAUUCAUGCUUGGGCACACAAACACAAACACAAAGCAACAUGUUAAAUUUUUCUGAUAUAACUUUUACCUUUAAAUGACUAUUACCUCCAAAGUUAAAACAAGUGAAAUUCGCUCACAUUGUCAUAACUUUGUUUUUAUCUAUGAUUUGUUUAAUUCUUGGACAAAAGAAAACUUAUCAUUCAACUAUGACCUUUACUUAAAUGUGUUGACAGUCAAACUCAAAUUUACUUUAUACAUUUUUGUUAUGUUUUCUAGGAGUACUCGAGCCGAGCAUGACCCAAGCUAGAUAGUGGCUCUUGUUUUCAAUGCCAACUACAUUAUAUGUAUCCAUUCCAUUUUACAUUGUCACAUGUUUAGUGUAUUGUGCUUGUUGGUUUCUACAAAAAAAGUUUGUUCUGACAGUCCUAGUUUUAUUUUAGAAAUAAUUUAUAGACAGUUAAAUUUUCUGUUUAUUUUCUAUAUGCAUAAUCAUUU